AGUAGUUUGACUCCGUGGCUCGAGGACGACGCUGGCGGCGUGCCUAACACAUGCAAGUCGAACGGAGUUUUACGCUGAAAUUGAGAGUAGCUUGCUACAGGAAAUUUCUUGUAACACUUAGUGGCGGACGGGUGAGUAACGCGUGAGGAACCUGCCUUACAGAGGGGGACAACAGUUGGAAACGACUGCUAAUACCGCAUAACGUAGCGAGAAGACAUCUUCUUGUUACCAAAGGAGCAAUCCGCUGUAAGAUGGCCUCGCGUCCGAUUAGAUAGUUGGCGGGGUAACGGCCCACCAAGUCGACGAUCGGUAGCCGGACUGAGAGGUUGAACGGCCACAUUGGGACUGAGACACGGCCCAGACUCC
rnacentral:rRNA from 1 species